CCAUGCUGUAAACGUUGUCUACUAGCCGUUGGGGGACAUGAUUCCUUAGUGGCGCAGCUAACGCGAUAAGUAGACCGCCUGGGGAGUACGGUCGCAAGACUAAAACUCAAAUGAAUUGACGGGGGCCCGCACAAGCGGUGGAGCAUGUGGUUUAAUUCGAAGCAACGCGAAGAACCUUACCAGGUCUUGACAUCCAUCUAAAGCUGUAGAGAUACAGUGUGAGCAAGCUCGAGAUGAGACAGGUGGUGCAUGGUUGU
rnacentral:rRNA from 1 species